rnacentral:miRNA from 1 species
UGCAAGUUGUUCUAUCAGGCUUGCUGCAAAUUGACAUUUGUAGACUUGAUGCAAGUUGUUUCAUCAACUUGCAUCAAGUCUGCAAAUGUCAACUUGCGGCAAGCCUGAUUUCAAUAGGCU